UAUUAGAAAGAAUACCAAUUGCGAAGGCAGCUUUCUGGAUCAUUACUGACACUGAGGAACGAAAGCAUGGGUAGCGAAGAGGAUUAGAUACCCUCGUAGUCCAUGCCGUAAACGAUGUGUGUUAGACGUUGGAAAUUUAUUUUCAGUGUCGCAGCGAAAGCGAUAAACACACCGCCUGGGGAGUACGACCGCAAGGUUAAAACUCAAAUGAAUUGACGGGGACCCGCACAAGUAGUGGAGCAUGUGGUUUAAUUCGAAGAUACGCGCAGAACCUUACCAACACUUGACAUGUUCGUCGCGACUUUAAGAGAUUAAAGUUUUCGGUUCGGCCGGACGAAACACAGGUGCUGCAUGGCUGUCGUCAGCUCGUGUCGUGAGAUGUUGGGUUAAGUCCCGCAACGAGCGCAACCCUCACUUUUAGUUGCCAUCAUUUAGUUGGGCACUCUGAAAGAACUGCCAGUGAUAAGCUGGAGGAAGGUGGGGAUGACGUCAAGUCCUCAUGGCCCUUACGUGUUGGGCUACACACGUGCUACAAUGGUAUCUACAACAGGAAGCAAAACUGCGAAGUUAAGCAAAUCCUUAAAAGAUACCUCAGUUCGGAUUGCACUCUGCAACUCGAGUGCAUGAAGCUGGAAUUACUAGUAAUCGCGGAUCAGCGUGCCACGGUGAAUGCGUUCCCGGGCCUUGUACACACCGCCCA
rnacentral:rRNA from 1 species